rnacentral:rRNA from 1 species
UACGGGGGGGGCAAGCGUUGUUCGGAAUUACUGGGCGUAAAGGGCGCGUAGGCGGCCUUCUAAGUCGGACGUGAAAUCCCUCGGCUCAACCGAGGAACUGCGUCUGAUACUGGAAGGCUUGAAUCCGGGAGAGGAAUGUGGAAUUCCAGGUGUAGCGGUGAAAUGCGUAGAUAUCUGGAGGAACACCGGUGGCGAAGGCGGCAUUCUGGACUGCAACUGACACUGAAAGACGAAAGCCAGGGGAGCAAACGGG